rnacentral:rRNA from 1 species
AGAAUCAACGCUGGCGGCGUGCCUAACACAUGCAAGUCGAACGGGAAAGUGGAGCAAUCCAUGAGUAAAGUGGCGCACGGGUGAGUAACACGUGACUAACCUACCCUUGAGUGGGGAAUAACUUCGGGAAACCGAGGCUAAUACCGCAUAACACCUACGGGUCAAAGGAGCAAUUCGCUUAAGGAGGGGUCGCGGCAGAUUAGUUAGUUGGCGGGGUAAUGGCCCACCAAGACGGUGAUCUGUAU